UCUGGUGAUUUGUCGGUGGGGUAACACCUCUUACCAUUCCGAACAGAGCAGUUAAGUCCACUUGAGGCGAUGAUACUCUUUAUGGGGAAAGUAGCUUGUCGCCAGAA
rnacentral:rRNA from 1 species